GUAAUGCGCCUCUGUGACAGUUGAUACUGACGGAACAAUGGCUUCGUCGUCGUCUUCGGGGAUGGCGGAACGAUGAGGAAUACCGGGAGCUCGUUAAGUAGAGGAUUUUCAGACUUAUCUCUGACAGUCGGUUUCGAUGUCAGUUCCGAGCCUGUCUUCCUUCCAGAAAGAGGGAUCCUUUUUAUUUAUGAUGCUGUCUUGGUGAACCCGGCAUUCUUUUGGUGAACAAUACAACUUGGUUGAAAUGAAGCUUCUAGCUCAGCAAAGGGAUCUUCAGGUGCCAAUUAUAUUGUUAUCACGUUAUCACCCCUCCCAGAACUCCGAAGCAAACAAUACAUUUCUUAUCUUAAUAGCAGUGUCUACUGUCGCAUGAACUCUCUGUUUAGUGGUUUGAUUGAGGAGAAAAAGAGCUGAGCUUGAUUGGAGAAUUCAUAAGCUGCACUGAGUAAACCUAUGACUGCUAUAAGUACAAUUGUCAAUUUGUCAUUUGGAUGUCAACUAGAGCAUCAGAAGGCAUAUACCCGAGCUUGUGCAGAGGAGACUGAGUCGGUGUGUUUAUGACUUGUUGAAAAUGAUAUGUUGGAAAGUUCAUUAGAUAAGGUCCUCGAGCUUUAGUUUUAGAUGUUAUUACUAUCUUUUCCUUCUCAAUAUAUCACCCCAAGUCCAACAUCCCUACCACUUCAUUUCUAGUGGAGGUUACUUCUAUUUUACAGAAGAACCUGGAUAAUGCUAAAGCUUGUUUAGAAGUUAUUGUUGGUGACAUGCUGUUCUCAAUGGACCCGGUGACAGUAACUCAGGUCAGAUUGCCAAUUACCUGAGUGUUUGAGCCUAAAAUAUUUUGUCCGGAGAAGAAUCUCGAGAACACCAUCUCGUGGUCUUCUGGGCUUGAAAAGUGAAUAGGCCAAAUCCAUUUUUAUGCUAAAUUUCAACUUAAUGAUGAAGUAUAGGGUGGCAAAGGUCGAGUUCUCAACCACCUUGUCAUAGAGAUUGAAAUACCAUACCAAAGACCAUUGCACAUUCCAAAAGCAUGAAUGGUUACAAACUCAUAAUAUUUUAUUUAUAUAUGUGUAACGUAUGAUUCUCAUUUUAUUCAUUACGUCUUGAUGGUUUGGAAGCAAAAUAUUUUAUGAAAGUAAUUAUGUUUGAACUUGAUGUUGUAUUUUCAUUUUGAAAAUUGAGACGGAAAACUGUUAUAAAUGACGGGUGCAAAUAAUACCCAAUCCUUUUUUUUUUCUGUAUUCCUUUUCAUUUCCGUAUUUAGAAAGAAAACAUAUGAUUUACAGUCCUUAUGUUGGAUCUCUUACUUUCCCUUCUCCAUAUUUGUAUUGUACUCUUUUUUAAUGUAAAUUUUUAGUUACGUUUAUCAUGUAAACCUUACACAGGGUUCUUGAUGAUAACUAUUUGCAUUGCAAUUCUUGGUAUUUCAUGUAAAUUUGAUCAGGUUACAACUUGUCUCAUUAUUUGUGAUGUACAUCAACGAAGAAUUUGACAAGCUUCUACAGCUACAGUUACUGCUCGAGAAUCACAGAGAACGAAGUUAAUAAACACCUAUAUUCAAGUUGGCUCUUGAGAAUGCUAGUGGCAACCAUGUUUAAGCAAAUGCUGAUAUUCAGAGGGGACCCACAAAAGCUUCAGUUUGCGAAUGAAAUCUGUCGGCAACACUACGCAAGAUGAAGAUGACAAGCACUUCAAAAUCAUUUGUUCUCCAAUGAUGUCAUCUCAAUCUUAUCAAAAUGGUUUUAGAUGUAAAUGGUUUAUGAUAUAUAUAAUACUGUCAUUGUUCUUAGUCCGAAAUGAGAUGAUGCCUAGUCUAAUGCAUGAUCCAGUCAACCGGUCUACUCCUACAAUUUCUAGAAAGCAUCAUAAACAAUUGAAAAGUUGGCUAUUGAGAAUCUUAGUCUUUAAGGGAUUUGAUAUGUUUUAAUCUCACAAUUUCUUAAAAAAAAAAUUCACAUGUAUUGGUGCAUAAAUAUAAAAAGCAUCAUAAAUAAUUUAAGGUUGUCAUGAAAACAAUCUUGGUACAUGAAUAUUUUUCAAGAGUUGAAACAAUCAAGUUCUUGUUUGAUACACGAAAACCAUUGGAUAUGACAAUAGAAAGAAAACGUAAGUCCACAUCAUUUUAAAAUAGUGUUGUUCUUAUAUUGGAUAUCUCAGAUGACUUGAUGCUUUCUGGAACCCUGUUAUGAUGGUCAAGGAAACGGUAUACCAAAUAGCCGUUAAUUUAUUUUGUUUGAAUGUGAUGGUCUAAGUAUUAGCAUAUUAAAUUCAAGUGUUUUGAUUGUUACUUGAUAUCCAAGACACAGAAGAUGAAGAUAUUGAUGUGAAAAGGGCUUCUUGUUGAGCUGUGUUUGUUUGAACAGGCAAGAGCAAAAGGUUAGGUGGAGUUACACUAAUGAGAUUGUAUUAAAACAGGGCAUGGAACUCUGCCACAUGGGGACCCAUAAACGACGGUGAGUGUCUGCAUCUCAAAUCUCUGAAAAGUCAAAAAAGCAAUCCAAGCUUUUCAGAUAAAGCCUUAGUUCAAAGGAUGAUUCGAUGAGAGUCACUGGAAAUGAUUGAAGGGUUACAUAUUUAUCAUCAGAAAGUAAUUAAUAAUUAUUUUGCUAAAAAAAUUCGUCCUCAUAUACACCAAUGUAAUGGCAUAAAUGUGUUGCAAUUUUUUUUUUUUAUCAUCAUAUUGUACGUCUCAAACGUAUUCUAAUCAGUCCAAAAUGUUUCAAUUAAUCACGUCCACAUGACCUAAAGGCAAACUUAAUUAAGAAAGCCAUGUGUAAAACACAUAACAAGUCACAAUAUAAUUGAAGGAUGAAGUGACAUGAGAUUCAUUUAGUUGUGAAAGGAAAUUAUAGAGAACUCCGGAAUCAUUAUAGAAUUAUGAUGAACAAUAAUUUUCAUGAAUUUUUAAUUUUGGUAUGGAACAUUUAGGAGCAUUAACUUGCACGCAAUAAUAGGCAAGUAUAAAGCAGUGCUUUGUAUACGAAUAUUUGUU